CCUACGGGAGGCAGCAGUAGGGAAUCUUCCACAAUGGACGAAAGUCUGAUGGAGCAACGCCGCGUGAGUGAAGAAGGGUUUCGGCUCGUAAAGCUCUGUUGGUAGUGAAGAAAGAUAGAGGUAGUAACUGGCCUUUAUUUGACGGUAAUUACUUAGAAAGUCACGGCUAACUACGUGCCAGCAGCCGCGGUAAUACGUAGGUGGCAAGCGUUGUCCGGAUUUAUUGGGCGUAAAGCGAGUGCAGGCGGGUCAAUAAGUCUGGUGUGAAAGACUUUGGCUCAACCGGAGGAAUGGAUCAAAAAAAG
rnacentral:rRNA from 1 species